rnacentral:rRNA from 1 species
GAUGAACGCUGGCGGCGUGCCUAAUACAUGCAAGUCGAGCGAACAGACGAGGAGCUUGCUCCUCUGACGUUAGCGGCGGACGGGUGAGUAACACGUGGAUAACCUACCUAUAAGACUGGGAUAACUUCGGGAAACCGGAGCUAAUACCGGAUAAUAUAUUGAACCGCAUGGUUCAAUAGUGAAAGACGGUUUCGCUGUCACUUAUAGAUGGAUCCGCGCCGCAUUAGCUAGUUGGUAAGGUAACGGCUUACCAAGGCAACGAUGCGUAGCCGACCUGAGAGGGUGAUCGGCCACACUGGAACUGAGACACGGUCCAGACUCCUACGGGAGGCAGCAGUAGGGAAUCUUCCGCAAAGGGCGAAAGCUUGACGGAGCAACGCCGCGUGAGUGAUGAAGGUCUUCGGAUCGUAAAACUCUGUUAUUAGGGAAGAACAAAUGUGUAAGUAACUAUGCACGUCUUGACGGUACCUAAUCAGAAAGCCACGGCUAACUACGUG